rnacentral:hammerhead_ribozyme from 1 species
AUACAGUUGAUGAGUCCCAAAUAGGACGAAGCGCGCGUCCUAGAU